CUCCGGUUGACGAGUCCCAAAUAGGACGAAACGCACAUCCUGGAU
rnacentral:hammerhead_ribozyme from 1 species